CAGGAGCGAAGAAAGAGUUGUCAGGCAAUCCUUCCUGGUCACCGGGCAGAAAAAGAGAGGCAGUUAUAGACACACUGGAUCAUAUAAGUGACACUCAGAAACAGCCACACACUAUCUGUGGAUUCUAUUUUUCUACGAUGCUUGCUUUCUUUACCGAGGUCUUUGGCAUGUCCACGUUUCCAGGAAAGCACUGGACCCAUCUACUCUGAAACAAAGGAACAACUUCCAGGAUAACAAAGAAAAAGUCAGUUUUUACCACCAAGACACCUUGGAUAAAAGAUAGGAAAAACCCAUCCUUGUCAAUGGGCUCUGCAAUGCCAGCUGUGGAGUCUGAGUGCUGGCUUCCUCUCUGGGGCACCUGGACACAGGAACAGGAAGCUGAAAGGUGGAUCCUGCUUUAAGUGGGGAGCUGUGCUCGCAUUUGGUGGGACCAGAUGCUACAAGGCGAGUGGUGGCAGGCCCUUGGCAAGGUGAUUUGGGAGGAGGGAAGAAAUUGCCAUGGAAAUGCAACCAAUACUUAAUCUAUUCUAGGAUCUGAUAUUUGGGAUAAAAUAUUACAUCAUCCUAUAAAAAUCAGUUCAGUUUCUCUAAAGUGAAAAAGGAAUACUUUUAUGCCACUGACUUUUUUUUUUUUUUUUUUUGAGACAGAGUCUUGCUCUGUCUCCAGGCUGGAGUGCAGUGGUGCAAUCUUGGCUCACUACAACCUCCGCCUCCCAGGUUCAAGCU
rnacentral:lncRNA from 1 species